rnacentral:rRNA from 1 species
UACGUAGGGGGCAAGCGUUGUCCGGAUUUACUGGGCGUAAAGAGCGCGUAGGCGGAAGCUUAAGUGUGGCCUGAAAGCCCCCGGCUCAACCGGGGAGGGUGGCUGCAAACUGGGUUUCUUGAGGGCGAUAGAGGAGGGUGGAAUUCCUGGUGUAGCGGUGAAAUGCGUAGAUAUCAGGAGGAACACCGGUGGCGAAGGCGGCAUCCUGGACCGAUACUGACACUGAGGAGCGAAAGCCAGGGGAGCAAACGGG